UAAAAGGCGUCGCUUAGGGUUUGUGUCUUUGUGAGCGCCGCCCGAGCUCCAUUCCCUCAGUCCCUCUCCCCUCUCCUAGUCUUCCUCUCCUCCGGACCUCCGCCCUCUCCUCCCCCUUGCCGACUCCUUCCGCCUCCCCGUCGACGGCGACCGCAGCGGCUCGACGGGUUCCUAGGACGUUGCUUCCGCCUUCUUGGGGCUUUUCGUCGUCUCGCGACUUGCCGGCGGACGGUGACUGCUUUGUCUUCUCCACGGCGACGGCCUCCGUCUCCUGCCCUAUCCGUGCGUUCUCUCCCCUUCUCCGCUAGUAGUAUAGUCAUGCUAUCUCUGAUUUCCUUCCGCCAUCUCUUUCUGUCUCUGUUUCUUGAUCUUAGGGAUCUUGGAUCUCAAAGCGGCGGAGGACGUGAGGGCGCUCUUUCUCUUCUUCAAAGCGGCGACUACUGUGGAGUCCAGCAGCGCUGCAGCAGGUAUGCCGGUGGAGGGAAAUGGUUUGGUUUUUACUUUUUAUGGUUUGAUUCAUGGCGAAGGCUAGGGCUUCCAGAUUUUUUCCCCCACCCGAAUCGAAGCCGUCGAUGAUUUCCGGAGAGAAAAAAAUUUGGGGAUGGCGCCUAGAAUCCUAGAUCAGAGAUUUUGAGGGCUCCCGUUUCCAUUUUCUUUUAUUUUUUCCAAUAAAAAAAUUGUAAUCUGUUAAUUUCUCUCCUCCCCUUGUUCCUCUCCGUGUUUUCUUUUUACUUAAUUUCUGGUUAAAUUUAUUUUUUUAAAAAAAUUGCUUGACCGUGUUAAUAUUGGUGGAUUUAUUGUUGGCACUGUCCAUGGCUUAUAUGCUAACUAUCUAAUUUAACUAUUUAAGUCCAAUAGUUAAACGAGUCGGGUUGGGUUAAAUGGGUUAGCUGUUUGUUAAACGGGUUAAACGGGUCGGGUUACCCAUUUAAUAAACAUGUCAGGUUCAGGUUGUAAUUUUCUAACCUGUUUAAUAAACAGGUCGGGUUCAGGUUUAUGAUUUUUUGACCCGACUUGCAUCUGAUCCGACCUGUUUAUGUCCGACCCAACCCGAUUGCCACCCCUAAUAAGCAAUCAUUAGCUAAUUGUUUGGCACAAAGCUUUUCUCGCCAUCUCGGGAUGGGCGUGCCAGAGAGCUUGUUUGAUAAAUCCUCGUGGCAAGUGGUAAAAAGAUGCAUAGGCAUGCCACCGGCGUUAGAGCAACCGAAAAGAGGAUAAUUGAAGGAAGGAUAUCAAACUAGCGUUUGUCCAAGUGCUUGGACCUUCAAGGACUUUUGCCAUUGUCAUAUUGCCGUUCGAAAGAAAAUGGAGAGGGAUAGGAUGUAGCCUGAGCUACGGUAGGAAAAAUAUAAGUCAUUUUGGAAUAUCAAAGUCAUUUUGAGCGGCUUGUCAAUAGAGCUUGUAAUUGGCCAAAACGGUAACUUGUUGGAACUUUUAUUGAAGGACUUUGCUCAUACAUUCAUUGUGAGAUGAAGAUGUAUAAGCCCUACAUUAUAUUGGUAGCUAUCUCUUUUGCCCGAUUAUGAAAGGAAAGACUCAUUAAAAAUACCUCAUGCUUAAACAAGAGAGUAAAUAACAAGAAAUUCGUAAAUUUCAAGAAGAUACACUCAACAACAAAUAUGUUAAGUGGCUUACACAAGAGGAUCUCAUGGACAGAAUAAGCCAAGGCAAAUGUUAGCAUUGUGAUGAAAAAUGGCAUAGAGAAAAUUGCUAGAAAAAGAUAAUUUUUCUUAUCGAACCUGCACAUAUUGACACUUCACAAGAUGAAGAAGAUGAAGAUGAUCGCCAUGUACCACCUAGACAAAUAUAAUCUUGAGAACAAGAUCAUCUAGAAGUGAAAGGGAAUGAUAUGCUUCUUAUCUUAGGAUCCUAAUUUUAAUUUGAUUUAGCACAAGAAUUAGGAGGAGUCCAAGUUUAAUAAAGAUUGGCUACAUCAUAUUCCUAUUUUGCUUUUUCUUAUUCUUGUAGGACAAUUAACUCUGAAUCUAUAUAUACGUAGUGCUCUAGACAAGCAAUGAAUUUAAUAAAAAUAGUGUAAAGGCUAUUCGAGGUCCAAAACCUCUUGAAUUGAUCGAAUACUCUUUCUUCUACCUAUAUCUCUAUUUUUCUAUUUUCUUUUGCUCGAAAUUCUAUCAAUAGUAAGUGGGUUCCUAUCAAACAGAAUACAUACACAUAUAUAUACGACUUUUCAAAAACUAGUCUCGCAUUAUAAAAAUUUCAUCAUGACAUGAAGAUGAAAUAUCUUUUUUUCGUAUCCUAACAUCGAACUAGAAAGAGGAGACUAACUGAACAAAUUUAGUUCAAUGUCGAGAAGUUAUGUAAUUUAAAAACUAUCCUUACUGCAAGGAGAGGGGAAAACCUAUGAUUUAAACCCACCCCCCACCCCAACCUUCGGGGCGUCUCAUGGCCUGCUUUCACCUGUUCUCCGAACCUAAAGCGGUGAUUUUUCACGAAGCUUGUCGAAAGAAAUCAAACAAAUGGAUUAUCGCAUUUCAAUAGUUUAAUGGGUUAUCAUCUUCGAAUCAAAAUUUACAACAAUUCAAAAAACUAGAAUAGUAUAUUAGAGAGACAGAGAGAGAGAGACCUGCCGGUCGCCGGUCCGAGGUUACAGAGGUUGAGCUUUGAGGGUGAGUCGAGAGAGAUCUGCAGCCGCCCAACAGGAACCCUAGUCCUUAAAUCCAAGGAGGCCCUUGGCAAAGCAAAUGGGCCGAGUUAAUUUUGUCUAGGGCUAAUCCCGGCUCGAUUCCGUUUAACGUGAGCUAGGAAAGGGGAUUGUGGGACAAGAUCCCGCCCCCCAGCCCCACUGGCGUCUCUAGGUUACUAGGCUCGUCUUGGAAGUUUAUUUGGAUAAUUGGGCUGAAAAUCUUAUGAAAUUUAUGGACUAAGGCCUUGUUUGGAGGAGCUUUUGAAGGGCCAAAAAGCACUUUCUAAUUGUGAAACAAUUGAAGAUGAAUGGUAAGAAAAGGAUAUGCAUAGAUGUACCUACUCGUUGGAAUUCUACAUAUCUCAUGUUAAACGAUGUUAUACAAUUCAAGGAUGUAUUUAUGCGACUUGUGGCCCGGGAUUCUAAUAAACAUUUGAAAAGCUGGGUGUUCAACUGUUGUAAAUGGCAUCUCUUGUAAAAUUACCAUCCUUUACUUCAUCUAUUUUCUCAAAAGGCCAUAAAAACAGAUUUUAAUGCAUCUAAAAGCAGAAAUUAAAAUUUUUUUCCCUAAAACGUGAUUCAAAAGAUGCAUACAAACAUAGAAAAUAAAAAUACUUUUUCUUGCACAGAAGAGAGUCUAAUCCACGGCUAGGGUUCUUUGUUAGGGCAGAUUUUUAGGUUUAUAAAGGGACAAAGUAUGUAAUUAUUAUAUUUUAUUAUGGGUAUUUUGGUGAAAAAAAGCUUUCCGACAAAGCUCAAAAUAGCUUUUUCGAAAAGCUCCAAAUUGGAGCUUUUUUUAAAAAGCUGUUUUUAGCUUUCUGAAAAAGCUAAAACAGCUUUUCCAAAAUUUUUACCAAAUAUCUUUUUUUAAUCCAAAAGUGCUUUAGGAGGGCCAGAAAGUGCUUUUUGGCCCUUCAAAAGCUCCUCCAAACAAGGCCUUAGUCCAUAAAUUUCAUAAGAUUUUCAGCCCAAUUAUCCAAAUAAACUUCCAAGACGAGCCUAGUAACCUAGAGACGCCAGUGGGGCUGGGGGGCGGGAUCUUGUCCCACAAUCCCCUUUCCUAGCUCACGUUAAACGGAAUCGAGCCGGGAUUAGCCCUAGACAAAAUUAACUCGGCCCAUUUGCUUUGCCAAGGGCCUCCUUGGAUUUAAGGACUAGGGUUCCUGUUGGGCGGCUGCAGAUCUCUCUCGACUCACCCUCAAAGCUCAACCUCUGUAACCUCGGACCGGCGACCGGCAGGUCUCUCUCUCUCUGUCUCUCUAAUAUACUAUUCUAGUUUUUUGAAUUGUUGUAAAUUUUGAUUCGAAGAUGAUAACCCAUUAAACUAUUGAAAUGCGAUAAUCCAUUUGUUUGAUUUCUUUCGACAAGCUUCGUGAAAAAUCACCGCUUUAGGUUCGGAGAACAGGUGAAAGCAGGCCAUGAGACGCCCCGAAGGUUGGGGUGGGGGGUGGGUUUAAAUCAUAGGUUUUCCCCUCUCCUUGCAGUAAGGAUAGUUUUUAAAUUACAUAACUUCUCGACAUUGAACUAAAUUUGUUCAGUUAGUCUCCUCUUUCUAGUUCGAUGUUAGGAUACGAAAAAAAGAUAUUUCAUCUUCAUGUCAUGAUGAAAUUUUUAUAAUGCGAGACUAGUUUUUGAAAAGUCGUAUAUAUAUGUGUAUGUAUUCUGUUUGAUAGGAACCCACUUACUAUUGAUAGAAUUUCGAGCAAAAGAAAAUAGAAAAAUAGAGAUAUAGGUAGAAGAAAGAGUAUUCGAUCAAUUCAAGAGGUUUUGGACCUCGAAUAGCCUUUACACUAUUUUUAUUAAAUUCAUUGCUUGUCUAGAGCACUACGUAUAUAUAGAUUCAGAGUUAAUUGUCCUACAAGAAUAAGAAAAAGCAAAAUAGGAAUAUGAUGUAGCCAAUCUUUAUUAAACUUGGACUCCUCCUAAUUCUUGUGCUAAAUCAAAUUAAAAUUAGGAUCCUAAGAUAAGAAGCAUAUCAUUCCCUUUCACUUCUAGAUGAUCUUGUUCUCAAGAUUAUAUUUGUCUAGGUGGUACAUGGCGAUCAUCUUCAUCUUCUUCAUCUUGUGAAGUGUCAAUAUGUGCAGGUUCGAUAAGAAAAAUUAUCUUUUUCUAGCAAUUUUCUCUAUGCCAUUUUUCAUCACAAUGCUAACAUUUGCCUUGGCUUAUUCUGUCCAUGAGAUCCUCUUGUGUAAGCCACUUAACAUAUUUGUUGUUGAGUGUAUCUUCUUGAAAUUUACGAAUUUCUUGUUAUUUACUCUCUUGUUUAAGCAUGAGGUAUUUUUAAUGAGUCUUUCCUUUCAUAAUCGGGCAAAAGAGAUAGCUACCAAUAUAAUGUAGGGCUUAUACAUCUUCAUCUCACAAUGAAUGUAUGAGCAAAGUCCUUCAAUAAAAGUUCCAACAAGUUACCGUUUUGGCCAAUUACAAGCUCUAUUGACAAGCCGCUCAAAAUGACUUUGAUAUUCCAAAAUGACUUAAAUUUUUCCUACCGUAGCUCAGGCUACAUCCUAUCCCUCUCCAUUUUCUUUCGAACGGCAAUAUGAUAAUGGCAAAAGUCCUUAAAGGUCCAAGCACUUGGACAAACGCUAGUUUGAUAUCCUUCCUUCAAUUAUCCUCUUUUCGGUUGCUCUAACGCCGGUGGCAUGCCUAUGCAUCUUUUUACCACUUGCCACGAGGAUUUAUCAAACAAGCUCUCUGGCACGCCCAUCCCGAGAUGGCGAGAAAAGCUUUGUGCCAAACAGUUAGCUAAUGAUUGCUUAUUAGGGGUGACAAUCGGGUUGGGUCGGACAUAAACAGGUCCGAUCAUAUGCAAGUCGGGUCAAAAAAUCAUAAACCUGAACCCGACCUGUUUAUUAAACAGGUUAGAAAAUUACAACCUGAACCUGACCUGUUUAUUAAAUGGGUAACCUGACCCGUUUAACCCGUUUAACAAACAGCUAACCCGUUUAACCCAGCCCGACUCGUUUAACCUAACCCGACCCGUUUAACUAUUGGACUUAAAUAGUUAAAUUAGAUAGUUGGCGUAUAAGCCAUGGACAGUGCCAACAAUAAAUCCACCAAUAUUAACACGGUCAAGCAAUUUUUUAAAAAAAAUAAAUUUAACCAGAAAUUAAGUAAAAAGAAAACACGGAGAGGAACAAGGGAAGGAGAGAAAUUAACAGAUUACAAUUUUUUUAUUGGAAAAAAUAAAAGAAAAUGGAAACGGGAGCCCUCAAAAUCUCUGAUCUAGGAUUCUAGGCGCCAUCCCCAAAUUUUUUUCUCUCCGGAAAUCAUCGACGGCUUCGAUUCGGGUGGGGGAAAAAAUCUGGAAGCCCUAGCCUUCGCCAUGAAUCAAACCAUAAAAAGUAAAAACCAAACCAUUUCCCUCCACCGGCAUACCUGCUGCAGCGCUGCUGGACUCCACAGUAGUCGCCGCUUUGAAGAAGAGAAAGAGCGCCCUCACGUCCUCCGCCGCUUUGAGAUCCAAGAUCCCUAAGAUCAAGAAACAGAGACAGAAAGAGAUGGCGGAAGGAAAUCAGAGAUAGCAUGACUAUACUACUAGCGGAGAAGGGGAGAGAACGCACGGAUAGGGCAGGAGACGGAGGCCGUCGCCGUGGAGAAGACAAAGCAGUCACCGUCCGCCGGCAAGUCGCGAGACGACGAAAAGCCCCAAGAAGGCGGAAGCAACGUCCUAGGAACCCGUCGAGCCGCUGCGGUCGCCGUCGACGGGGAGGCGGAAGGAGUCGGCAAGGGGGAGGAGAGGGCGGAGGUCCGGAGGAGAGGAAGACUAGGAGAGGGGAGAGGGACUGAGGGAAUGGAGCUCGGGCGGCGCUCACAAAGACACAAACCCUAAGCGACGCCUUUUACGUCCAAUCAACCUCGCGGUGAAACUGUGAAACCGGACGGUGGACCUCGCGGUGAAAGCGGGCCGAAGCGGGGAGUUGGGCCGAGGCGGUGAAAGCGGGCCGAGGCAGGGAGUGAAAUUGAGUUUUCUCAUGACAGAAAGAUUAAUCAACAGAUACAAAUCCUUUUGACCUAACUACAGACCAUCUAACUGAUUUGCAACUCGGGCAACUUCAUUGUAUUUAAGUUGGUAGAUACAGAAAGUGAAAAUUACAGCAAACAUCAAAAUUGCCUAUAUGCAAAUGCAAUAAGGCUGAAGAAGGAAAAUUAUGAUUAAACCGUUUCUCAGAGGGGAUGUACCAUUGCUAUACAUUCUUAAAAUAGAAAAGAAACAUAGAUGAAGAUUAAAUUUUGAAGGCAUAACUAAGUGUUUUAAAAAUAUAUAAAGUAAUGCAUCAUUUUCAUAAUUAUUGUUUUAUGAGUUCACUUCACUUUGGAAACCAACUAGAGCACUAUACACCGCCAAGAUUUCUUUCCCAAUACUCGAAGUCGUCCCCAAAUGCUGGAGAGGCUUACAUUGUAUAAGCAAUAGGGGUGGUAAAAUAUGAUCCAACCCGCCAUAAACAGAUUUGGGUUUGGCUUAAACAGGUUCGGGUCGUAAACAGGUUGAUCCGUUUAACCUGUUUAUUAAUUGGGUCGGAUACAGAUUUUAAAUUUCUGACCCGUUUAAUCUGUAUAACCUGUUUAAUUGUUGGGCUAAUAUAUAAGGGCCAGCCAUACUCCCUGCCUCGGCCCGCUUUCACCGCCUCGGCCCAACUCCCCGCUUCGGCCCGCUUUCACCGCGAGGUCCACCGUCCGGUUUCACAGUUUCACCGCGAGGUUGAUUGGACGUAAAAGGCGUCGCUUAGGGUUUGUGUCUUUGUGAGCGCCGCCCGAGCUCCAUUCCCUCAGUCCCUCUCCCCUCUCCUAGUCUUCCUCUCCUCCGGACCUCCGCCCUCUCCUCCCCCUUGCCGACUCCUUCCGCCUCCCCGUCGACGGCGACCGCAGCGGCUCGACGGGUUCCUAGGACGUUGCUUCCGCCUUCUUGGGGCUUUUCGUCGUCUCGCGACUUGCCGGCGGACGGUGACUGCUUUGUCUUCUCCACGGCGACGGCCUCCGUCUCCUGCCCUAUCCGUGCGUUCUCUCCCCUUCUCCGCUAGUAGUAUAGUCAUGCUAUCUCUGAUUUCCUUCCGCCAUCUCUUUCUGUCUCUGUUUCUUGAUCUUAGGGAUCUUGGAUCUCAAAGCGGCGGAGGACGUGAGGGCGCUCUUUCUCUUCUUCAAAGCGGCGACUACUGUGGAGUCCAGCAGCGCUGCAGCAGGUAUGCCGGUGGAGGGAAAUGGUUUGGUUUUUACUUUUUAUGGUUUGAUUCAUGGCGAAGGCUAGGGCUUCCAGAUUUUUUCCCCCACCCGAAUCGAAGCCGUCGAUGAUUUCCGGAGAGAAAAAAAUUUGGGGAUGGCGCCUAGAAUCCUAGAUCAGAGAUUUUGAGGGCUCCCGUUUCCAUUUUCUUUUAUUUUUUCCAAUAAAAAAAUUGUAAUCUGUUAAUUUCUCUCCNNNNNNNNNNNNNNNNNNNNNNNNNNNNNNNNNNNNNNNNNNNNNNNNNNNNNNNNNNNNNNNNNNNNNNNNNNNNNNNNNNNNNNNNNNNNNNNNNNNNNNNNNNNNNNNNNNNNNNNNNNNNNNNNNNNNNNNNNNNNNNNNNNNNNNNNNNNNNNNNNNNNNNNNNNNNNNNNNNNNNNNNNNNNNNNNNNNNNNNNNNNNNNNNNNNNNNNNNNNNNNNNNNNNNNNNNNNNNNNNNNNNNNNNNNNNNNNNNNNNNNNNUUUAUCACAAAUUAGCAAGUUCAAACAAAACCAGUGAUCCACUAAAACCUACGUUAAUGAUAUGUUGGUAGUGAUCUAUUAUAUGUUAGGAGAGUGAUGCAAAAGCAGAAUUUGUGAGUGUUGGCUUCUAAGUCUUGAUACAGUUCCUCUGGGAAAGGAGCGAAGCAAUCCUAGUUUGACUUAAAUCAAAUGCAAAGUAAGCUACCAUGUCAGUAGACCUGAGCCCAAUAAACAACAUGAAAUUGAUCUUGUCAAGAGAGGAACCAGUCUACCGAUCCAGAUAGAAACUUCAUACAAGUUGUAACAGUUUCUCUUAUAUGGAUUUGAGAGGACUUCGCAUGGAAAGCACUAUAGCAGAUAUCUAGUGAUGCACUAAAAACAUAAGUUGAACAAUCCAAAACUGCAACAAAAUAAGCUAAUGUUAAAAUAAAUUACAAUUAAUGGGUUUCCUUGCAGCAAAAUUAGGCCAAAGAAAAGAGGAAAAAAACAACAGAAAAUCUACUAAUGAUGCAGCAACAAUUAACCUGAAAUAUCAGAAGAUAAAUAACCUCUUCAAGGUAGAAGAAAUUGCAUUUGCCUUUUCUAGAUUUUCCUGUUUGGUGCUUGUGCUUGGUGAAUGGUGGUUUGGUGGUGUACGAUUUUAUGUAAUUUCANNNNNNNNNNNNNNNNNNNAAAGUAUGUAAUUAUUAUAUUUUAUUAUGGGUAUUUUGGUAAAAAAAGCUUUCCGACAAAGCUCAAAACAGCUUUUUCGAAAAGCUCCAAAUUGGAGCUUUCCCCAAAAAGCUGUUUUUAGCUUUCUAAAAAAAGCUAAAACAGCUUUCCAAAAUUUUUAUCAAACACCUUUUUUUUAUCCAAAAGUGCUUUUGAUUCGAAGAUGAUAACCCAUUAAACUAUUGAAAUGCAAUAAUCCAUUUGUUUGAUUUCUUUCGAUAAGCUUCGUGAAAAAUCACCGCUUUGGGUUCGGAGAACAGGUGAAAGCGGGCCAUGAGACGCCCCGAAGGUUGGGAUGGGGGGUGGGUUUAAAUCAUAGGUUUUCCCCUCUCCUUGCAGUAAGGAUAGUUUUUAAAUUACAUAACUUCUCGACAUUGAACUAAAGUUGUUCAGUUAGUCUCCUCUUUCUAGUUCGAUGUUAGGAUACGAAAAAAAAGAUAUUUCAUCUUCAUGUCAUGAUGAAAUUUUUAUAAUGCGAGACUAGUUUUUGAAAAGUCGUAUAUAUAUGUGUAUGUAUUCUGUUUGAUAGGAACCCACUUACUAUUGAUGGAAUUUCGAGCAAAAGAAAAUAGAAAAACAGAGAUAUAGGUAGAAGAAAGAGUAUUCGAUCAAUUCAAGAGGUUUUGGACCUCGAAUAGCCUUUAAACUAUUUUUAUUAAAUUCAUUGCUUGUCUAGAGCACUACGUAUAUAUAGAUUCAGAGUAAAUUGUCCUACAAGAAUAAGAAAAAGCAAAAUAGGAAUAUGAUGUAGCCAAUUUUUAUUAGACUUGGACUCCUCCUAAUUCUUGUGCUAAAACAAAUUAAAAUUAGGAUCCUAAGAUAAGAAGCAUAUCAUUCCCUUUCACUUCUAGAUGAUCUUGUUCUCAAGGUUAUAUUUGUCUAGGUGGUACAUGGCGAUCAUCUUCAUCUUCAUCAUCUUGUGAAGUGUCAAUAUGUGCAGGUUCGAUAAGAAAAAUUAUCUUUUUNNNNNNNNNNNNNNNNNNNNCCAAGCUUUGCUAUCACUAGUUUGUAUUUCCCAGAACCCUAUACUUGUUUAUUUUGCAAUAUCACAGUAUGUGGCAUGAUAGAGUAAAGAACCAGUUGAAUAUCAAGGAUCAUUGAUAUACCUAGUAACAUUAUUGAAUCUCAUAAUUAUUCACAUAAAUAAGUCAUAUUGAUAACCUUCUAAAGUUUCAAACUAAAUCCUCAUGGUCUGAGAUGUGCUUUAAUCCCGAGGAAUUAAAAAUCAACCUAAAUUCCAUGCAAUUCAAUGCACAGAAGUGGUAUUAUACCUCCAAAUAUUGAUAAAAAUAUCAGGAUAUUGUUCAUUGUUCUUCCUAACAGAACAUUCGCUGUUACACCCAUAAUUUGUAUGCACCCCUAUACCUAAAUGGCAUUGCAGCAUACAGUUAGCAUAAGAAUUGCCUCGCGUAAUUAAGAUUCUGGUCGGCUAUCCACAUCCUGUAAGACAAUAUGCUAAUUUCUGCAUCUAACCUUUUGCAAGCAUCCCAAAUUGAUGGAAGUAUAAAAUUAAACAGUGAAAACCCAAGAACUACCUUAGUACAAUAUGGUCAAAAAAAUAAAUUAAAAAAAAUAACAGUAUGCACUUGGAAACUAACAUUAUACUAUUUUGAUUCCUCCUUUCGAGCUGUUGGUCAAUAUGUUCUCCAAAUUUCUCUCUAGUAUCUAUGUACCGCUUUUUUCUCACAGGGAAUACCCAAUUUUAAUGCACAUAUACAAAGUGCAUAGAUAUAAAGGAGAUAUUUGAGACCAUAUGAACUUAUGUAUAGAAUGAACGGCUUAAAAUGCCAAUAAAAAUAAAGAAAUGGGAGGGACAGGGGCCAAAAAAUUAAGUGUGAAUGAAUUGUUAUUGAAACAUAGCAGUUAAAAUUCAGAUCAACUAGAGAACAGCCUAUUUUUAUGCUGCUGUGGUACUGUGGCAAAUGGAACUUGAUUGCAUGACAGUUUUCCUCCCAAAUUCUGCACUCUUGGAAAAGGUGAUUUAUAAGUUUUAACCCGUAUAGCAAAGUUUUAGUGCAUCGUACUAAAAAAUCAGAAGCCAACCUACAAAAUAGAAGUGAAACAAGAAGAGAGAAGAAGAAAACUGAGAAUAUACCUAAACCUAAUAGGAGGCUUUAUCCAAACACCAUCAAAUGGAAUAAUCAUUGCAAUGUUCUGUAUUCUGGAGCUAUUGUAUACAGCAAUCACUGCUGCCUUUGAAGCUCAUCAUGACGAAUAUAAAUAAUUUCCUCAGCAGAAGAUCAUAACUGAAUAAUAGCACAUCCAUCUCAUGUAAAUGAGAUCAGCAAGACUUACAGCAAUAUUAUGAUAACUUCAACUUCAUUGCUUGGUAAAACUUCAAUUUAUUAUGGAGGAUGUAUCUAGUUAGCUUGACUCUAAUUAUUAAAGUUCUAAAUUAAAAUAAAAUUGCAUAUGCAGACAAAAUUCAAACAUACAGAAGUCAGUUAAAAGAUAUGAUAAAGAAAGGGGCUUACCAUCUCAAUAUUAUAUUUAACAGCUUCACUCCUUAAAGUUUCAGUCUCCUCUAAAGGAACAUCUGGCACCACAAGUCCUGCAAAAUGAUACCUGUUACUACUGAUUCACCAAAAAAGGCUGAUAGCAGAAGGUAGUAAUCCAGCAUUUUUUUGUCAAUAACAUCAACAAAAAAUUGCAAACACAACGCAAAAAAAUCACAAAACAAAUAAAUAAUCAAGAACUGGACUUUGCUAAAUGAAGGCAUGCAUUAAAUUUUAUAAUGUUAAGAGAAAGUAACAGCAAGAUAAAAAGAAAAAUUUUGGUACUUUUAGGGAAAAGAACAUGGAGACCAUUAUGUGGAAUUGUCAGGUACAUCAGCAUAGAAGAUUAGCACAGUAUCCCUAAAUGGUUUGUAAAAUAAUUGGGCCAUUUAGGCACUAUACCCUUUAAUUCAAAUAGGAUUUUGACCGGUGGCUGACAAUCCCUCAAUGAUAUAUAAAAACAUCUAGCUCAUCUAGGGACAGGCCCAAGUCCAUAUGACACUACAAGGCUGCAAAUGAAUCAAGAUGUUCAAGAACCACUAGGGUUAAAAUUCAACAACAGGCUCAAAUGAGCUUGAUUGAUUCAUCGUAGCCAGGAAACUUCUAUCUAGGGUGGCAUACCUGCUUCAAAAACUCCCCAAAAAUUCCAAUCAUCACCCGCUUCUAAACACUUCCUUGCUUACAGGGAUUUUAAAAUAUCCACUUCCUAUACUUGCUCUAAAUUUUGGCAACCAAAAUUCGAUUACAAAACAAGCCAAGCUCAAGCAUUAAUUUGAGGAUCAACUCAUAAAUUAACAAAGCCUGGACAAACUCUGGCUUGACAAGAAAAAAAAAAAGGAAGAAACUCAGCUGCUCGAGCUUGGCUCAAUAAAUAGGCUUGUUUUUGGUCAUGAGGAAUUCAAAGAUUAACCCAUAUGACAUUUGCAAUUAAGAUCUACAUAUAUCUUAGCCAUACCGGCAAUACAUGCUACCUUUGGGUUAACAAGGGAUUACAUUCAUGCUUUUCCUUAUAUGCAACUCUUUUUUGUCACGCUAAGUUUUAGUGGUGCAGUCAGGUUCUUUUAUUAUGUUGGAAGCCAGUAACUUAAAUAUGAGAAGCUCUCAAGUUGAAAUUUUUAGUUACAGCCUACUAUAUUAAUUAAAUGCACUUUGAACCCCUCAUAUCAUGUCUGCAUGUUUUAACCCAUCUAGGAGGGUGCAUACUGUGAAUUUUGACUCCACAAUAAUAAAUUUCCUGUUACGAGAUUUUCCAAUAAAAUGAUAGCAAAGCAUUGCCAGUAUUAUAUCCAUCCUGCUUUUUUAAAAAAAAUUUCCCGCUCUCUUCAAUUUUUUUCACUCAGAUUCUUAUCUUAUUUCACAAGUUCCUUCAAAAUUUCAUAAUUACAAAACAUUUCAGCACAAUUUUGUGAACAUUAACAUACCUGGUCGAGAUAUGGCACCUUAAUUGACCAAUUGUUUGAUAAAAAAAAUAUUUCCAGGCUUCAUGACGCCAUACAUGGCUACAACUUUUCCUCUUUCUCCACGAUAAAGAGAAAAGGAUAAACAACAAAACCAUAAGUUUUCAUGAUUCAAGAGCUCAACAUAUUAAGCCUUGACCUAAAACUAACAUAUAGUUUAUUAAAGUUAUAUAGGUUUGAAGACAAUAGUCUAAAGAUAGUCAAAGAAGCAAAAAGAGGGAGGCUGAAGACGUGUUUGGUGUUGCUUAAAAAAAGUCUUUUGCAGCCCUUAAAGCAAAAAAAAAGUUUCAAGAAAAUGCUAGGUAAAAGUAUACGAGAAAUGCUUCUACAGGAAGAAAAAGUCAAAAAAAAGUGCUUUUAGGAGAAGCUAGAAAAUCUAGCUCCUGGUUUCUUCUUUUGUGGGAGCUUUUUAAAAAGCAAAAGCAACACCAAUCAUGCCCCCACUAAGUUUACUUUCAUGUGAACGGCAUAAUAACUUUGUUAAAUGACCUGAAAUGGAUGUUUUAAUAGCAUAAAAGUUUCAGUCUUAUAGUCCUGAUUAACAUAAGAAAAGAGGAUCUAGAUUCAAAAUAAUAAUUCAUUGCAUAACAUGUAUAACCAAUUUAUCAUAUUUCCUGUCAUAUUUUUAUAUCAUUAACUUGACCAGGAGCAUAUAACAAACCAAUGAUCUGAACAACAUAAACCAGUACAUAGUUGAAAGGAAAAGUCUUAAUGCAUCUACAAUGAACACAAGAAUACUAACUUAACAGAGUUGCUCAGGUUAAAAUUGACAUUGCAAAACAUUAGUAAGUGCAUUCAUAUGUCAAUUUACCAUGUACACCAGCAUUUUUUAUCGUAGACAUGAACUUCUCAACUCCACGCUUUAGUAUGGGAUUGUAAUAUGUAAACAGAGCUAUUGGACAAGACAGUUGAGGUACUACCUGCUUAGACAGUAUCAAUAGCAUAACAUGAGAACCUAUCAUAGAAUUGUUAAUGAGUUCCACUAAUUCAAAAAGUUAAGCUGCAAAUGUAUUGAAAGCAAUCUCCUGCGAUAACUGACACCAUAGAAAAAAAUGAAAAUGGGUAAAAGAUGUUAUUUAGCAUCAGUAACAAACAUCAACACCUCCCUUAACUUUGAAACAAAGAACAGGUAGAUAAUUUGCAUGCACCUGAUUCAAGUCAAAUUAGAGACUUUAAUUAGUCAGACUCAGUUUCUCUUUUCUAGCUUUUUUCCUUUCUUCAUUUUCCUUCUUUUCCCUUUUUUCCUCCAUUACAUAUGCUAACAGAGUUCAGAGUCAACAAGGAGAAUUUGACAGCAUUCUAGGUGAUGAAUUAAGAUUCUUCUAAACAUAAGAGAGUCAAAACAAGCGUCAAAGGCUAAAGUUAUCAUGGCUUACUGAUGAAGUUCUAGUGCAUGCACAGAUUCUGUUCAGGUACAUAUGUGCAUGUGUGUGCAUAUAAUGCGAGAGAGAGAGAGAGAGAGAGAGAGAGAGAGAGAGAGAGAGAGAGAGAGNNNNNNNNNNNNNNNNNNNNGAGAGAGAGAGAGGAAUUAACGAAAGAAUAGUGCUUAGGAUAGUCAUACCUCCCUUAACAUGGAUAUAACUGCAUCAAAGUUGGUUCCUUUUGCUAGGGCACGCGUAGCAGCAGCCUAAAAUUACAUAUACAUAUGUAUAACCAAUACACAUUCAACUGUAAGAUUGAAUAUGAAGGAGAAAACGUUUGACAGGAAAACCUGGAUAACAGGUCCAUCUGCUAAAGGAUCAGAGUAGGGUAUGCCCAAUUCUAUCAAGUCUGAACCACAAGAAUCAAGAACUUUCAAUGCUUUCGAGGUUGUUGACAAAUCAGGAUCACCAGCAGUUAAGAAAGGUAUAAAUGCAACCUAAGGAAUUGGAGACAGACAGCGGUUAGAAGCCAAGUAAAAAAUACAAGCAGAUUCCCUAUCAAAUUAAGGUUGUAUUGCAACAAGCCUACAGCAAGCCUACUGAAAAAAAUGAAGUUACAAGGAAAACAGCAGAUAUUUGCUUGUUCAACUAAUGAAUGCAAUCUCUGGUUGCAAAUUUGGCAUUAAUAAUCAUAUUAGUGACUGAAACGCAUAGGACAAGUAUAUUUCAGAUCAAUCUACUUCCAAGAUAUUUAGAACCAAGAGAUAUAUUGGUGUUACGCAUGAUUUGCCAACACAAGUUGUGCUCGCAAGUAUAUUGUUUGGUAGGUUUUUAUUAUGACAAGUCUGGCCUUAUGGUAGAUGCAUAGAUAGAGCAAUUAGAUAGAUGUGCAUGUGUGUGUGCACGUGCAAAUCAAGCAUGUCCAAGAUUUGUUUUUUUACUACAACAGAUCCCAAGAAAUAGAUAAAAGAAGCAGCAAGCAGAUGACAUAUGAAAUCUACAAAUAAAGGGGCACAAUGCGUGUCAGACCUCACCAAGAUUUGACUUUUACUCCAUCCAAACAGCAAAUGAACGAAAUCAAAACUCCCCUAGCUAAUCUUCCACGGACAGAAAACAUAUAAAUCAUCAGGGAAAGGGAAUACAACAGCAAAGGAAGAAAAAGAAGAAAAGAAAACACCUGUUCGGCUAAAAGGAGCGCAAAUUUUAGAAUUAGAAGAACAGAUGCAGAAAGAACACAAAAAACGCAUGGAAAGAAAACCCAUUAAACAAAAAUCAGGAGUCAGCGUUCAUAUGACAAUACAAAAUCGACAAAAUUAGGCACAUCAAAUGCCAGUCAAACUUUUACUCUCCAAGAUUUGAUUUUUAAUCCGUCAAACAGCAAAAGAACUAGAUUCUGUCGAACCUGGAACGAAAUCCAGUGACAAAACCACGAAAAUAAUCAAGAAAACGCAAUCCACGGGCAAAAGGAAGAAAAUGGUACGAACACAAAAGCAUUCAUAGGGGAAACACCGCCGCAUACUUUUCCUUGUUCCCUCAACCGGGAGAAGGUCUCGGAGAUCCCAACCGUCGGGGCGACGCUAAGAGAAGCCAUGGUGGACAGGGAUUUGGGGGCAGAGACAGUCUGGAAGGAGGGCCGAGGAAAAGAGACGCGGGGAGAUUUGCUCGAGGGGAGAAAAGAGAAGGAGACUUUGAAAGCGGUGGCCAUCACCCUUCGGAUGUCGGGACGAGACCUCGGUCUGGGCUUUGCGAAGGUUUUAUUUUGUCAUUGCGCCACACGCCCGGCAAGUGCCGUUUCUGGAUUCGUAAGGGCUUGGAUUCAUCAUUUUGACCCUGUUGAGAUUCGUCUGAGACAUAUGGGAUUUGGGCAUUCUUGAUUUGGGUCAAAUGAGAUUUUACCAUGGAAAUGUUGGAUGGGCAAGGGUUCCAAGGAUUGUCCCCACCCAUGGACAUAUAACAUCUUUGGUGCGAAUGAAGAAGUCAACUUAGUGCAAAUCCACAUUUGAAUCGUCGUUUCAAGAUUUAUGAAGAGAUGAAUGAAAACAUUCAAAGUGCUCUAAGAUUUACACAAGUGUCAUUCAAUAGUCAACGUUUGUUAGGAUCCGUGCAGGGGUGUGUUUAGUCCUACAUCGAUUAUUCGCUGGAUAGAUCUUGGAUACUUAUACAAGAUCAAGGAACCAAAAUAAUACUUUUCGGCUAGCCAUUUUUGGAUAAGGUAUUGGGUUGUUACAAAUGAUAUCAGAGCGGAUCCGGCUCAUAAUCUAUGUGAAUUAGAGGAUACCGCAACACAUCCAUUGGGACUGACCACGAACCGAUCGUGAUGUUUGUGAUUAGAUUUGAAUGAAUUUGAACACUUAGUCUGAUGAGGACGUCGGGGCUUGAACGGGAGAGUAUGUGAGGAUCGUGCGAGUUUGUGUUUAGUCUCACAUCGGUUAUUCGUAGGGGUGGCAAAAUAUGACCCGACCCGCCAACCCGACCCGUGUUCGAUCCGCCAUAAACAGGUUUGGGUUUGGCUUAAACAGGUUCGGGUCGUAAACAGGUUGACCCGUUUAAUCUGUUUAUUAAUUGGGUCGGAUACAGAUUUUAAAUUCCUGACCCGUUUAACCCGUAUAACCUGUUUAAUUGUUGGGCUAAUAAAUAAGGGCCAGCCCAACUCCCUGCCUCGGCCCGCUUUCACCGCCUCGGCCCAGCUCCCUGCUUCGGCCUGCAUUCACCGCGAGGUCCACCGUCUGCUUUCAGCCUUUCACCGCGAGGUUGAUUGGAUCGUAAAGGCGUCGCUAAGGCCGUAAGGCGUUGCUUCUCCUUAGGUUUAGCCGUUUAGGGUUUGUCUUUGUGAGCACCGCCCGAGCUCUAUUCCCUCAGUCCCUCUCCCCUCUCCUAGUCUCCUCUCCUCCGGACCUCCGCCUCCGCCCUCUCCUCCCCCUUGCUGACUCCUUCCGCCUCCCCGUCGACGGCGACCGCGGCGGCUCGACGGGUUCCUAGGACGUCGCUUCCACCUUCUUGGGGCUUUUCGUCGUCUCGCGACUUGCCGGCGGACGGUGACUGCUUUGUCUUCUCCACAACGACGGCCUCCACCUCCCGCUCUAUCCGUGCAUUCUCUCCCCUUCUCCGCUAGUAGUAUAGUCAUGCUAUCUCUGAUUUCCUUCCGCCAUCUCUUUCUGUCUCUGUUUCUUGGUCUUGAGGAUCUUGGAUCUCAAAGCGGCGGAGGACAUGAGCGUGCUCUAUCUUUUCCUCAAAGCGGCGACUACUGUGGAGUCCAGCAGCAUGUAUGCCGGUGGAGGGAAAUGGUUUGGUUUUUACUUCUUA
rnacentral:lncRNA from 1 species